GGGUUUGACAUGUACGUGGUACGGAUCUGAAAGGUGAAGGACCCGGUCUUCGGACUGGGAGCGUACACAGGUGCUGCAUGGCUGUCGUCAGCUCGUGUCGUGAGAUGUUGGGUUAAGUCCCGCAACGAGCGCAACCCUUGCCUUUAGUUGCCAGCAGUUCGGCUGGGCACUCUAAAGGGACUGCCGGUGUUAAACCGGAGGAAGGUGGGGAUGACGUCAAGCCCUCAUGGCCUUUAUGACCAGGGCUACACACGUACUACAAUGGCCGAUACAAAGGGCAGCGACACUGCGAGGUGAAGCCAAUCCCGUAAAAUCGGUCUCAGUCCGGAUUGGAGUCUGCAACUCGACUCCAUGAAGUUGGAAUCGCUAGUAAUCGUGGAUCAGCAUGCCACGGUGAAUACGUUCCCGGGCCUU
rnacentral:rRNA from 1 species